rnacentral:lncRNA from 1 species
UUAACGACUUUUUCUUCUUCCACACCUCCCUUCUAGAUUCAUCCAGUUCAGUAGGGCUGUUAUUUUUAAUAGCUGUACUUAGAUGAAAAGCAGAAUGACCUUUGUCCUUCUCUGGGAGAAGAUUAAGACAGGUCAGAUUGACUACUGCCUUGGCCAGUCUGGUUUACAGAGAAUAAUGAGGGACAUACCACAGAGCUGGAGCCUCCUCUGAUGGUUUCCUGAGCUAACAGAUGAUUGCUUGAAGGAAGGAUGAGAGGUGCUAUUCAACAGACCAUUUUCCAAAGAGAUGGAAAUUUUAAAAAAUACUGCUACUUGAAAAAUGACCUGGUGGAUCUCUGUUUAUGCACUGCGGUGGAAUCACACAUUUACUGUUGAGACUCUACUUGCAUGUGUUUUCCUUCCAUGUUUUUCAAAUAGAAGACCAGAACCCACCCUAACUGCACUACCCUGUUCUUAAGACUUGGAAUGAAGUUUCUGGAGAUAUCAUUUGUGUUUUUCUGAGCAGUUUGCUAAUUUAUGCUGUAUACCCUCUGAUGGUUUUUUUCACCAGACUGACUGCAGGCACAUCUGCCAGAAGUGUAGUCUGCGUGUUAUUUUCUUCUAAGCAUAACUAAUGAAGACCUCACCUUACAAAGCAGAUUCAGAUCCAAAGACAGAUUUUGUAUCUCAUCCACUUAUCUGAACUUAAAACCAUUUAAAUAUGACCAUUGGUCAUUAAAUAAAACCAAUGCAAAAUUUAAAAAAAUAAAAAUU